rnacentral:misc_RNA from 1 species
GAUAAUUACAUCCUGUAUAGCAGCAGUAAGAGCAUGACCAAUAUGAAGAGCCCCAGUUACAUUUGGAGGCGGAAGAACAAUUGUAAACGGCGGUUUCGAGCUGCUUGCAUCAGCUUCGAAGAAUUUCGAUGAUUCCCACCAAGCGUACCAUGACUGCUCCACUGCGCUCGGAUUGUACUGCUUCGCCAUUUGCCGUGAAAGCCGUU